GAGGAACAAUUCUGAGUCUUAAC
rnacentral:piRNA from 1 species